rnacentral:lncRNA from 1 species
GGACUCACAGCCUUGGGAUCAUGAUAUCGGAUAUGAUGGUGUUAGCCUCGAAAGAAGUCUUGCUAUAGCGGGUUAUUAUCCGGGGGCAUUUGCUGUUCAAAUCACAAAGGAUAAAAGAGAAUUCAACAUCCAUUUGGAAUCUUCAGUCUGUACUAAACAUGGAGAGAAUGUAUCUACCAUGGCAGGACUCGACGUCCAAACUGUCGGAAAACAGCUUGCUUACAUCUUCAGGGGCGAAACGAAAUUUAGAAAUUUUGAAAUAAACCGAACUACUGCUGGUUUAUUGGUUACUUUCCUAGGAGAAAAU